rnacentral:tRNA from 1 species
GGAGGGAUGGCAGAGCGGACGAAUGCGACGGUCUUGAAAACCGUUGGGCCUCACGGUCCCGCGGGUUCGAAUCCCGCUCCCUCCG